rnacentral:tRNA from 1 species
AAAGAAUUAGUUUAACAUAAAACCUUAGUCUUCAAAACUAAAGAUAUUAAUUAAUAGUAUUCUUUG